CCUACGGGGUGCAGCAGUGGGGAAUAUUGGACAAUGGGCGAAAGCCUGAUCCAGCCAUGCCGCGUGUGUGAAGAAGGCCUUCGGGUUGUAAAGCACUUUCAGUGGGGAAGAAAGCCUUGGGGCUAAUACCCUCGAGGAAGGACAUCACCCACAGAAGAAGCACCGGCUAACUCCGUGCCAGCAGCCGCGGUAAUACGGAGGGUGCGAGCGUUAAGCGGAAUUACUGGGCGUAAAGCGCGCGUAGGCGGUCUGAUAAGCCGGUUGUGAAAGCCCCGGGCUCAACCUGGGAACGGCAUCCGGAACUGUCAGGCUAGAGUGCAGGAGAGGAAGGUAGAAUUCCCGGUGUAGCGGUGAAAUGCGUAGAGAUCGGGAGGAAUACCAGUGGCGAAGGCGGCCUUCUGGACUGACACUGACGCUGAGGUGCGAAAGCGUGGGUAGCAAACAGGAUUAGAUACCCCGGUAGUC
rnacentral:rRNA from 1 species